ACACUCCUGCGGGAGGCAGCAGUGGGGAAUAUUGCACAAUGGGCACAAGCCUGAUGCAGCCAUGCCGCGUGUAUGAAGAAGGCCUUCGGGUUGUAAAGUACUUUCAGCGGGGAGGAAGGCGAUAAGGUUAAUAACCUUGUCGAUUGACGUUACCCGCAGAAGAAGCACCGGCUAACUCCGUGCCAGCAGCCGCGGUAAUACGGAGGGUGCAAGCGUUAAUCGGAAUUACUGGGCGUAAAGCGCACGCAGGCGGUCUGUCAAGUCGGAUGUGAAAUCCCCGGGCUCAACCUGGGAACUGCAUUUGAAACUGGCAGGCUAGAGUCUUGUAGAGGGGGGUAGAAUUCCAGGUGUAGCGGUGAAAUGCGUAGAGAUCUGGAGGAAUACCGGUGGCGAAGGCGGCCCCCUGGACAAAGACUGACGCUCAGGUGCGAAAGCGUGGGGAGCAAACAGGAUUAGAAACCCGUGUAGUCC
rnacentral:rRNA from 1 species